AGACCCGAAACCCGGUGAUCUAGCCAUGGGCAGGUUGAAGGUUGGGUAACACUAACUGGAGGACCGAACCGACUAAUGUUGAAAAAUUAGCGGAUGACCUGUGGCUGGGGGUGAAAGGCCAAUCAAACCGGGAGAUAGCUGGUUCUCCCCGAAAGCUAUUUAGGUAGCGCCUCGUGAAUUCAUCUCCGGGGGUAGAGCACUGUUUCGGCUAGGGGGCCAUCCCGGCUUACCAACCCGAUGCAAACUGCGAAUACCGGAGAAUGUUAUCACGGGAGACACACGGCGGGUGCUAACGUCCGUCGUGAAGAGGGAAACAACCCAGACCGCCAGCUAAGGUCCCAAAGUCAUGGUUAAGUGGGAAACGAUGUGGGAAGGCCCAGACAGCCAGGAUGUUGGCUUAGAAGCAGCCAUCAUUUAAAGAAAGCGUAAUAGCUCACUGGUCGAGUCGGCCUGCGCGGAAGAUGUAACGGGGCUAAACCAUGCACCGAAGCUGCGGCAGCGAACGUAUCACCCAAGACAACUUUACGGAGUUGACGAUUGACGGAGCGAAGCGACGUCAAAGCGUUCAUUAAAGUCGAGUUGGCUUAGGGAUACGUUCGUUGGGUAGGGGAGCGUUCUGUAAGCCUGCGAAGGUGGCCU
rnacentral:rRNA from 1 species